CGGCGGUUUGGCCGAGUGGUCUAAGGCGAUUGACUAGAACCAUCUUGAAUUCAUUCCUGAAAUCAAGAUUCCCCUAUCAAUUCUGUUCGCAGGCGCAUGUUCGAAUCAUGCAGCCGUCGU
rnacentral:tRNA from 1 species